GACGAACGCUGGCGGCGUGCUUAACACAUGCAAGUCGAACGGAAAGGCCUGCUUUCCCUUGUGGAUUGCGGGUACUCGAGUGGCGAACGGGUGAGUAACACGUGAGUGAUCUGCCCCCAACUUGGGUAUAAGCCUGGGAAACUGGGUCUAAUUCCCGAUAGGACUGCAGGGUGGCGCCUGUGGUGGAAAACGAUUUUCUAGUGGUUGGGGAUGAGCUCGCGGCCUAUCAGCUUGUUGGUGGGGUAAUGGCCUACCAAGGCGGCGACGGGUAGCCGGCCUGAGAUGGUGGACGGCCACAUUGGGACUGAGAUACGGCCCAGACUCCUACGGGAGGCAGCAGUGGGGAAUAUUGCACGAGGGGCGGAAGCCUGAUGCAGCGACGCCGCGUGGGGGAUGACGGCCUUCGGGUUGUAAACUCCUUUCGACCGCGAGGAAGCCACCUGGUUGGAAGGGUGGUGACGGUAGUGGUAGAAGAAGCACCGGCUAACUACGUG
rnacentral:rRNA from 1 species